rnacentral:rRNA from 1 species
UUAAGUUAGAAAGGGCGCACGGUGGAUGCCUUGACACUAGGAGUCGAUGAAGGACGGGACUAACGCCGAUAUGCUUCGGGGAGCUGUAAGUAAGCUUUGAUCCGAAGAUUUCCGAAUGGGGAAACCCACCAUACGUAAUGGUAUGGUAUCCUUAUCUGAAUACAUAGGGUAAGGAAGACAGACCCAGGGAACUGAAACAUCUAAGUACCUGGAGGAAGAGAAAGCAAAUGCGAUUUCCUGAGUAGCGGCGAGCGAAACGGAACAUAGCCCAAACCAAGAGGCUUGCCUCUUGGGGUUGUAGGACAUUCUAUACGGAGUUACAAAGGAACGAGGUAGACGAAGCGACCUGGAAAGGUCCGUCGUAGAGGGUAACAACCCCGUAGUCGAAACUUCGUUCUCUCUUGAAUGUAUCCUGAGUACGGCGGAACACGUGAAAUUCCGUCGGAAUCUGGGAGGACCAUCUCCCAAGGCUAAAUACUCCCUAGUGAUCGAUAGUGAACCAGUACCGUGAGGGAAAGGUGAAAAGCACCCCGGAAGGGGAGUGAAAGAGAUCCUGAAACCGUGUGCCUACAAAUAGUCAGAGCCCGUUAACGGGUGAUGGCGUGCCUUUUGUAGAAUGAACCGGCGAGUUACGAUCCCGUGCGAGGUAAGCUGAAGAGGCGGAGCCGCAGCGAAAGCGAGUCUGAAUAGGGCGUUUAGUACGUGGUCGUAGACCCGAAACCAGGUGAUCUACCCAUGUCCAGGGUGAAGUUCAGGUAACACUGAAUGGAGGCCCGAACCCACGCACGUUGAAAAGUGCGGGGAUGAGGUGUGGGUAGCGGAGAAAUUCCAAUCGAACCUGGAGAUAGCUGGUUCUCCCCGAAAUAGCUUUAGGGCUAGCCUUAAGUGUAAGAGUCUUGGAGGUAGAGCACUGAUUGGACUAGGGGUCCUCAUCGGAUUACCGAAUUCAGUCAAACUCCGAAUGCCAAUGACUUAUCCUUAGGAGUCAGACUGCGAGUGAUAAGAUCCGUAGUCAAAAGGGAAACAGCCCAGACCGCCAGCUAAGGUCCCAAAGUGUGUAUUAAGUGGAAAAGGAUGUGGAGUUGCUUAGACAACUAGGAUGUUGGCUUAGAAGCAGCCACCAUUUAAAGAGUGCGUAAUAGCUCACUAGUCGAGUGACUCUGCGCCGAAAAUGUACCGGGGCUAAAUACACCACCGAAGCUGCGGAUUGAUACCAAUGGUAUCAGUGGUAGGGGAGCGUUCUAAGGACAGUGAAGUCAGACCGGAAGGACUGGUGGAGUGCUUAGAAGUGAGAAUGCCGGUAUGAGUAGCGAAAGACGGGUGAGAAUCCCGUCCACCGAAUGCCUAAGGUUUCCUGAGGAAGGCUCGUCCGCUCAGGGUUAGUCAGGACCUAAGCCGAGGCCGACAGGCGUAGGCGAUGGACAACAGGUUGAUAUUCCUGUACCACCUCUUUAUCGUUUGAGCAAUGGAGGGACGCAGAAGGAUAGAAGAAGCGUGCGAUUGGUUGUGCACGUCCAAGCAGUUAGGCUGAUAAGUAGGCAAAUCCGCUUAUCGUGAAGGCUGAGCUGUGAUGGGGAAGCUCCUUAUGGAGCGAAGUCUUUGAUUCCCCGCUGCCAAGAAAAGCUUCUAGCGAGAUAAAAGGUGCCUGUACCGCAAACCGACACAGGUAGGCGAGGAGAGAAUCCUAAGGUGUGCGAGAGAACUCUGGUUAAGGAACUCGGCAAAAUGACCCCGUAACUUCGGGAGAAGGGGUGCUUUCUUAACGGAAAGCCGCAGUGAAUAGGCCCAAGCGACUGUUUAGCAAAAACACAGCUCUCUGCGAAGCCGUAAGGCGAAGUAUAGGGGGUGACACCUGCCCGGUGCUGGAAGGUUAAGGAGAGGGGUUAGCGUAAGCGAAGCUCUGAACUGAAGCCCCAGUAAACGGCGGCCGUAACUAUAACGGUCCUAAGGUAGCGAAAUUCCUUGUCGGGUAAGUUCCGACCCGCACGAAAGGUGUAACGAUUUGGGCACUGUCUCAACCAGAGACUCGGUGAAAUUAUAGUACCUGUGAAGAUGCAGGUUACCCGCGACAGGACGGAAAGACCCCGUGGAGCUUUACUGUAGCCUGAUAUUGAAUUUUGGUACAGUUUGUACAGGAUAGGCGGGAGCCUUUGAAACCGGAGCGCUAGCUUCGGUGGAGGCGCUGGUGGGAUACCGCCCUGACUGUAUUGAAAUUCUAACCUACGGGUCUUAUCGACCCGGGAGACAGUGUCAGGUGGGCAGUUUGACUGGGGCGGUCGCCUCCUAAAGUGUAACGGAGGCGCCCAAAGGUUCCCUCAGAAUGGUUGGAAAUCAUUCGUAGAGUGCAAAGGCAUAAGGGAGCUUGACUGCGAGACCUACAAGUCGAGCAGGGACGAAAGUCGGGCUUAGUGAUCCGGUGGUUCCGCAUGGAAGGGCCAUCGCUCAACGGAUAAAAGCUACCCCGGGGAUAACAGGCUUAUCUCCCCCAAGAGUCCACAUCGACGGGGAGGUUUGGCACCUCGAUGUCGGCUCAUCGCAUCCUGGGGCUGUAGUCGGUCCCAAGGGUUGGGCUGUUCGCCCAUUAAAGCGGUACGCGAGCUGGGUUCAGAACGUCGUGAGACAGUUCGGUCCCUAUCCGUCGUGGGCGUAGGAAUUUGAGAGGAGCUGUCCUUAGUACGAGAGGACCGGGAUGGACGCACCGCUGGUGUACCAGUUGUUCUGCCAAGGGCAUAGCUGGGUAGCUAUGUGCGGAAGGGAUAAGUGCUGAAAGCAUCUAAGCAUGAAGCCCCCCUCAAGAUGAGAUUUCCCAUAGCGUAAGCUAGUAAGAUCCCUGAAAGAUGAUCAGGUUGAUAGGUUCGAGGUGGAAGCAUGGUGACAUGUGGAGCUGACGAAUACUAAUAGAUCGAGGACUUAACCAU